rnacentral:lncRNA from 1 species
AUGUUCCAUUUCUCCAUGUCAGCAGGUGUAAAUGUAACAGCAUCGGGGAGGCACAGAAAAGAGAUUGGCCUGACGCAUGCUGAUACAUGCACACACCUAAAACCCAGAUGUUCUUUAACCAGCCUACAAAUUCCUUCAAAACAAUUUGUAGCAGUAUCCAUUCUGCCCAGCCACCCAUACAGAACUGUGCUGAUACUGCCACCACUCAGCUGUUCUUGGUGGCUGGGCCUGCGUCUCCUCAGCCUGCCCAGGUACAGCAUCCCACCCGCCAUGGACCCAGCCCAUGUCAGGUGCAGGACCAAGACCCAGCUACACUGAGAGCAUUUGAAGCCCGAGAAAAAUUACAGAGAAGCACAGCUUGUGACUGAUUCUAGGGCUGAGGCAGUGAAGCAAUGAUUAGGACUACCUUUUGGGAUGCAUGCGUGUGUGACAGGAGGAUGGGGAUAAGGAAUGGGGAAUGCAAGCAUGGUUUCCACUGUAUCUAAUACAAUACUGAAUAGCAGCUACUGACAUCCAAGCAAGCUAGGUUUGGAAAACGACGGCCUGUUCUGGCAUCCAUACAGAACUGUUCUGAUACUGCCACCACUCAGCUGUUCUUGGUGGCCGGGCCUGCGUCUCCUCAGCCUGCCCAGGUACAGCAUCCCACCCGCCAUGGACCCAGCCCAUGUCAGGUGCAGGACCAAGACCCAGCUACACUGAGAGCAUUUGAAGCCCGAGAAAAAUUACAGAGAAGCACAGCUUGUGACUGAUUCUAGGGCUGAGGCAGUGAAGCAAUGAUUAGGACUACCUUUUGGGAUGCAUGUGUGUGUGACAGGAGGAUGGAGAUAAGGAAUGGGAAUGCAAGCAUGGUUUCCACUGUAUCUAAUACAAUACUGAAUAGCAGCUACUGACAUCCAAGCAAGCUAGGUUUGGAAAACGACGGCCUGUUCUGAAUUGCACUGUUUCCGUUAAUUUUGAUUUUUUUAUGCCUUUACUGGAACCUGGUUUGAGGUAAUUUUGUUUAAUCCUCUGACUGGAAAGAUCUUGUUUACUUCUUCUUAUAAAGGAGUGUUUAGACUUCAUUAUCUUGUCCUGGUAGGUUGGUUUGUUGCAGGAAUUCAAACGAUAGUGUUUGUUUAGCAAAAAACUGGAGCACUCAUACUGACAAUAUUGAAUUGGAAAAGAUAGCUAAAAAAAUCACUUCAUCAGCUUCUCAUCUAGUAGUGCUUCAAUGAGUCAAAACUAUGUAAGCUUGCUUAAUAAAAGUCCAUACUCUUUUCAUCUUUCUUUUGUUUUUUUUCCUUCAGAAAAUACAAUGUAACAUUAUAAUAGAUGAAAGGAGUGUUUGAGUUUUGCUACUCUUAUGCCAAAGUAGGGUUCUGAUAAUUCACUUCAUCCCAAAAGAUGAGAACUUUAAAUUAUCUAAGUGUUUGUUCUGUAUCUGCUGAAUGAAUAUAUGUGCUGGUUUUGGCUAGGUUUUGGUAGAAUCAAUUUUCUUCAUGAUAGUUGGUAUGGGGCUGUGUUUUGGAUUUGUGCUGGAAGAAGUGGUGAUAACAAAGGGACAUUCUUGUUGUUGCUGAGCUGCACUUGCAUAGUAUCAAGGCCUUUUCUGCCUCUUACCCCAAACCACCAUUGAGGAGGCUUGGGGGGCACAUGGAGUUGUGAGGGAACACAGCCAGGACAGCUGACCCCAACUGACCAUAGGAAUAUCCCAGACCACAUGACAUCAUGCUCAGCAUGGAAAGCUGGGGGGAAGAAUGAUGACAUUUGUCUUCCCAAGUCACAUUACCUAUGCUGGAGCCCUGCUUUCCUGGGGAUGGCUGAACACCCACCUGCCCAUGGGAAGCAGUGACUGAGUUCCUUGUUUUGCUUUGCUUAUGUGCACAGCCUUUGUUUUCCCUAUUGUCUCAACCCACAAGUCUUCUCACUUUUAUCCUUCUGAUUCUCCCUUCCCUAUCCCACCAGUGUGAGUGUGAGUAGUUGGCAGCUGAGGUUAAACCAUGACAGCACCUUCUCUGUAAAUGAAUGUGUAUAUAUACUAGCCAAAACUUUAAAGUUUUGGAAACUUUCAUUUUUUUCCUGCUUGUGGCAAAACAUUUUUGAGCAAUCCUUUUGUCCGUGCUUACCAAGAAUAUUUGAAGCUGCAAAAUAAACAGUUGUAUCAUUAAUAAAUGGAUGUAUUUGUGCUUAUUGGUAUGUUAUCCGCAUUUCUGCUAGCUCUAGUGUGACUCCUCAGGCAUUUUUUCCUGCUUGUGGCAAAACAUUUUUGAGCAAUCCUUUUGUCCGUGCUUACCAAGAAUAUUUGAAGCUGCAAAAUAAACAGUUGUAUCAUUAAUAAAUGGAUGUAUUUGUGCUUAUUGGUAUGUUAUCCGCAUUUCUGCUAGCUCUAUUUCUACAGCAAGAUUUAGCAAUCAAGUGAGGUUCCUAUUUUAUGCCACAUGAGCUAUUAAUAUGAAGUCUGGACUAUUGUAGCUUCAAUGAGGUAUUGUCUUGCC